rnacentral:rRNA from 1 species
UACGUGAGGGUGCGAGCGUUAAUCGGAAUUACUGGGCGUAAAGCGUGCGCAGGCGGUUUUGUAAGUCAGAUGUGAAAUCCCCGGGCUUAACCUGGGAACUGCGUUUGAAAUCUACAAGGCUAGAGUGUAGCAGAGGGGGGUGGAAUUCCACGUGUAGCAGUGAAAUGCGUAGAGAUGUGGAGGAACACCGAUGGCGAAGGCAGCCCCCUGGGUUAACACUGACGCUCAGGCACGAAAGCGUGGGGAGCAAACAGG